AUGGCUGCUGCCUCUGAGGAGAAACUGCUUCCAAAUAAGACAGAAAUUGUGGUCUGGAAGCCCAGAAAAGAAUGUUUGCAGCAGAAUAUUCCAAAUGUUCCUGAUGGCAAGUCUGAGGAGAGUGAAUCUGCUUCUACCUCUCCCAGUGAAGUUUCUAGUAUACCUGAGUCUUCAGGGCAGCAAGAUGCAUCUGAGCAUGAGGUGGAAGACUGGGAUAGAGAACUAGAGGAGUUCACAUGUGGUCCUUACGGUCUCUCAGUGUUAUUAUCUGACAAAAUGUGGUACCUGCACUACUGGCAAUGGUGUCCUCUCAUCUCCAUGGUCCCUCCCAAAGCAGGAUAGCCUGAAGACUAGGACAAAAUCCUGUGCAUUACAGCGGUGUUGGCAUAUCUUGAGAGACCAGAACUGUGAUGAUGCCACAUAUUCCAAAUUUCUUCUGAUUUCAUGUUUUCUGUGCUGAUUUUUAAGAUCUGUCAGAG
rnacentral:lncRNA from 1 species